UACGUAGGGCGCAAGCGUUGUCCGGAAUUAUUGGGCGUAAAGAGCUCGUAGGCGGCCAGUUGCGUCCGCUGUGAAAUCCUGGGGCUUAACCCCGGGCGUGCAGUGGAUACGGGCAUCACUGGAGUUCGGCAGGGGAGACUGGAAUUCCUGGUGUAGCGGUGAAAUGCGCAGAUAUCAGGAGGAACACCGGUGGCGAAGGCGGGUCUCUGGGCCGAUACUGACGCUGAGGAGCGAAAGCAUGGGGAGCGAACAGG
rnacentral:rRNA from 1 species